GAUAGUGUGGUGUAGUGGUUUGAGUGUUGGACUAUGACUUUGGAGAUCAGGGUUAGAUUCCCUGCUCAACCC
rnacentral:tRNA from 1 species